rnacentral:rRNA from 1 species
AUUGAACGCUGGCGGCAGGCCUAACACAUGCCAGUCGAGCGAGCGGCGGACGGGUGAGUAAUGUAUGGGGACUGCCCGAUAGAGGGGGAUAACUACUGGAAACGGUGGCUAAUACCGCAUACUAUCGGAUAACCCAUAUGGGGUUAGCUAGUAGGUGGGGUAAAGGCUCACCUGGGCGGCGAUCUCUAGCUGGUCUGAGAGGAUGAUUAGCCACACCGGGGCUGAUACACGGCCCCGACGGCUACGGAGGAAGCAGUGGGGAAUAUUGCACAAUGGGCGCAAGCCGGAGGCAGCCAUGCCGCGUGUAUGAAGAAGGCCUUAGGGUUGUAAAGUACUUUCAGCGGGGAGGCGUUACCAGCAGAAGAAGCACCGGCUAACUACGUGCCAGCAGCCGCGGUAAUUC